rnacentral:tmRNA from 1 species
AUUCGACCGGGUCGGGAAAGCAAAGUGUGGCGUGUCGAGGAGCGUGCUAGCCUCGUAAAAAGUACGCAAACUUAUAUCUGCCGAACCGCAGUACGCACUCGCGGCCUAAUACGGCCACGGUUCACGCGUUGGACGCCUGAUACGGCGCGUGAACACGAUCAUCAGGCUGGCCGACACUUGGCGCCUCUUGGGGUGUCGGCGAGGAGGUUUCAAGCGGCUGGAUCGAAGCACAGGGUGUCAUCCCCCGGUGUGAGAUCGAGAACAAACGGAUGACUACACACGUAGAAGCACUC